rnacentral:snoRNA from 1 species
AUCCUUUUGUGGUUCAUGAGUGUGAUGAUUGGGUGUUCACACGUCCCUUUUAUAUUAAACACCCAAAAAUCAGGGGGCCAUGUUGGCGCACCCCCCAUAUCCCA